AUCCCUGAGGCCAAGAACUCCAGGUCAGAGAACAAGAGGCUUGCCACCACCUAGGAAGCAGCCCACCACCAUCUUAGGAGCAAGAACAAGGACAACUGAGAUGAUGUCUUGCCCUGUCAUCCAGUCUUGAAUGCAGUGGCAUGAUCAGCUCAUCAUAACCUCAUACUUCUGGGCUUAAGUGAUACUCCUGCCUCAGCCUCUCAAGUAUCCAAGACUACAGGCAGUUUGCCAUUUUUGGGGCAUGUUUUCCAUUGGUCUUCCAGUUCCAUCAGUCAUGGAGGGGUCCUUCUGACUGAAAAAAGAAAAGAGAGAAGGAAUUGUGGAUGGAAAGAGAAACAGGAAGGGAAGAGAAAAGAGAGAGCAAGAGGCAUAAUCCCAGGUGUAUUGAUUAGGUCCUACCAGAAAAUAUUUCUUCAUCCCACCAUCCAGAGUUCCACAGUAAUACAAAGCGGCAUCAUUUUCAGUAAAUAUAGCCUUGGAUAAGGCUUGGUGAAGAGGCCAGAAAAAGUUCAGAUGAGUCCAGCUCGGUUUGAAGUUCUACAAUGCAAGUGGAGACUACCAUUUCAGAAGCACUUGAGGUAAAAGCAGCACACCUAAUAGAACAAUAUUCACAUUGGCAAGCCAUAGAGAAUGACGACAAAUACAUGGAAGUAGAACCAUCCCAGCCAUCAGAACUUGAAGCAGACAGCAAGGCUGCCCACUGCCCACUGAUUUCAGCCAAGAUCAGCUGGUACUCAGCUGACUCAAAGAUGCUUGAAGUGACUGUUCUCAUUCUGUGUUUUGAGAGAGUCUAUUGCACAACAAUUGCUGAUUGGCAUAGAUCCUGAACACUUAA